UACGAAGGGGGCUAGCGUUGCUCGGAAUUAUUGGGCGUAAAGGGCGCGUAGGCGGCCAUGCGUGUCUUUCGUGAAAUCCCUCGGCUUAACUGAGGACGUGCGGAAGAAACUGCAAGGCUUGAGUCCGGGAUAGGGGGGUGGAAUUCCCAGUGUAGCGGUGAAAUGCGUAGAUAUUGGGAGGAACACCGGUGGCGAAGGCGGCCCCCUGGACCGGUACUGACGCUGAGGCGCGAAAGCGUGGGUAGCAAACGGG
rnacentral:rRNA from 1 species